GAUGAACGCUGGCGGCGUGCCUAAUACAUGCAAGUCGAGCGAACAGACGAGGAGCUUGCUCCUUCGACGUUAGAGGCGGACGGGUGAGUAACACGUAGGUAACCUACCUAUAAGACUGGGAUAACUUCGGGAAACCGGGGCUAAUACCGGAUAAUAUUUCGAACCGCAUGGUUCGAUAGUGAAGGAAGGCGUUGCUAUCACAUAUAGAUGGACCUGCGCCGUAUUAGCUAGUUGGUAAGGUAACGGCUUACCAAGGCAACGAUACGUAGCCGACCUGAGAGGGUGAUCGGCCACACUGGAACUGAGACACGGUCCAGACUCCUACGGGAGGCAGCAGUAGGGAAUCUUCCGCAAUGGGCGAAAGCCUGACGGAGCAACGCCGCGUGAGUGAUGACGGUCUUCGGAUCGUAAAACUCUGUUAUUAGGGAAGAACAAACGUGUAAGUAACUGUGCACGUCUUGACGGUACCUAAUCAGAAAGCCACGGCUAACUACGUG
rnacentral:rRNA from 1 species